rnacentral:rRNA from 1 species
UACGUAGGGGGCGAGCGUUAUCCGGAUUUACUGGGUGUAAAGGGAGCGCAGACGGCAGUGCAAGUCUGGAGUGAAAGCCCGGGGCCCAACCCCGGGACUGCUCUGGAAACUGUACGGCUAGAGUACGGGAGGGGCAGGCGGAAUUCCUAGUGUAGCGGUGAAAUGCGUAGAUAUUAGGAGGAACACCGGCGGCGAAGGCGGCCUGCUGGACCGAAACUGACGUUGAGGCUCGAAAGCGUGGGGAGCAAACAGG